AAAACAUGGUCUUUUGUUUAUAUAAAAGAUCUGGCCUGCCCAAUGAUGAUUUUAAUGGCUGCAGUAUUUUGACUGUACAAAGGUAGCAUAAUCAUUUGUCUUUUAAUUGAAGUCUGGAAUGAAUGGUUGGAUGAAAAAUUUACUUUCUUUAUUUUAAGUAUAAAAUUUAAUUUUUAAGUCAAAAAGCUUAAAUAUAAAUAUAGGACGAGAAGACCCUAUAGAACUUUAUUUAUUAUAAAUGUUUAUUAUUUUGUUAAUUAUGAUUAUACGUUUUUAUAUAAAUUUUAUUGGGGUGAUAAAAAAAAUUUUUUAACUUUUUUUAUUUAAUUCAUUUAUAUAUGUAUUUUUGAUCCUUUAUUAUGGAUUAAAAGAAUAAGUUACCUUAGGGAUAACAGCGUUAUUAUUUUAGAGAGUUCAUAUUGAUAAAAUAGUUUGCGACCUCGAUGUUGGAUUAAAAUUAGCUUCAGGGGUAGAAUAUUGAUGGCUAAGUCUGUUCGACUUUUAAAUUUUUACAUGAUCU
rnacentral:rRNA from 1 species